GAUGAACGCUGGCGGUAUGCUUAACACAUGCAAGUCGAACGGACUCUUCGGAGUUAGUGGCGGACGGGUGAGUAACGCGUGAGAAUCUGGCUUUGGGUUCGGGACAACCACUGGAAACGGUGGCUAAUACCGGAUGUGCCGAGAGGUAAAAGAGAAAUUGCCUGAAGAUGAGCUCGCGUCUGAUUAGCUAGUUGGUGAGGUAAAGGCUCACCAAGGCAGCGAUCAGUAGCUGGUCUGAGAGGAUGACCAGCCACACUGGGACUGAGACACGGCCCAGACGACCACGGGAGGCAGCAGUGGGGAAUUAUCCGCAAUGGGCGAAAGCCUGACGGAGCAAUACCGCGUGAGGGAAGAAGGCUCUUGGGUUGUAAACCUCUUUUCUUAGGGAAGAACAAAAUGACGGUACCUAAGGAAUCAGCAUCGGCUAACUCCGUG
rnacentral:rRNA from 1 species